GGGGAAUAUUGCGCAAUGGGGGAAACCCUGACGCAGCAACGCCGCGUGAGUGAGGAAGGACUUCGGUCUGUAAAGCUCUGUUAAUGUGGAAAAAUGCUUAGUGGUCUAAUAGGCCAUUGAGUUGAUGGUACACAUAGAGGAAGCACCGGCUAACUUCGUGCCAGCAGCCGCGGUAAUACGAAGGGUGCAAGCGUUGUUCGGAUUUAUUGGGCGUAAAGCGCACGUAGGUGGACUUAUAAGUCAGAUGUGAAAUCUCGGGGCUCAACCUCGAAACUGCGUCUGAAACUGCAAGUCUAGAAUCUUGGAGGGGGCAGGGGAAUUUCACAUGUAGGGGUAAAAUCCGUAGAUAUGUGAAGGAACACCAGAGGCGAAGGCGCCUGCCUGGACAAGUAUUGACACUGAGGUGCGAAAGCGUGGGGAUCAAAC
rnacentral:rRNA from 1 species